GCCAAUGUGGCUUAGUGGUUGAGCAUCAGCCUGUGAACCAGGAGGUCAUGGUUCAAUUCCCAAUCAAGGGCA
rnacentral:tRNA from 1 species